UCAUAGCAUGACGGGUGUCCAGGUCCUCAACUGUUUCUUUCAGCUCAACUCUGCCGUGGUGGCUAUGGUCUCACGACCCUCCAUUCAUUGCGAGUCCGAGCUGGAGGAGGCAGUUGAAGACCUGGUUCUGAGAUUAUACCGUAUGAACUUGAUCUAGACAAUUCUAGCGCAUAAGGACAUGCUUCCCCCUCCCC
rnacentral:ncRNA from 1 species